rnacentral:rRNA from 1 species
UGGGGGAUAUUGCACAAUGGGCGAAAGCCUGAUGCAGCGACGCCGCGUGGGGGAUGAAGGCCUUCGGGUUGUAAACUUCUUUUGCUCUGAACAAGGCAUGCUAAUGGGUGUGUUGAGUGUAGGGGUUGAUUAGCGCCGGCUAACUACGUGCCAGCAGCCGCGGUAAUACGUAGGGCGCGAGCGUUGUCCGGAAUUAUUGGGCGUAAAGGGCUUGUAGGUGGCUGGUUGCGUCUGUCGUGAAAGCUCAUGGCUUAACUGUGGGUUUGCGGUGGGUACGGGCUGGCUUGAGUGCAGUAGGGGAGGCUGGAAUUCCUGGCGUAGCGGUGGAAUGCGCAGAUAUCAGGAGGAAUACCGGUGGCGAAGGCGGGUCUCUGGGCUGUUACUGACACUGAGGAGCGAAAGCAUGGGGAGCGAACAGG